UACGGAGGAUCCAAGCGUUAUCCGGAUUCAUUGGGUUUAAAGGGUGCGUAGGCGGAAUGAUAAGUCAGUGGUGAAAUCCUUCAGCUUAACUGGAGAACUGCCAUUGAUACUGUCAAUCUUGAGUACAUUUGAUGUGGGCGGAAUGUGUCAUGUAGCGGUGAAAUGCUUAGAUAUGACACAGAACACCGAUUGCGAAGGCAGCUCACAAAACUGUAACUGACGCUGAGGCACGAAAGCGUGGGUAGUCAAACAGG
rnacentral:rRNA from 1 species